rnacentral:rRNA from 1 species
AUUCCCCUAGUAACUGCGAGUGAGCGGGAAAAGCUCAAAUUUAAAAUCUGGUGGUCUCUGGCCAUCCGAGUUGUAAUUUAGAGAAGCGUCUUCCGCGCUGGACCGUGCACAAGUCUCCUGGAAUGGAGCGUCGUAGAGGGUGAGAAUCCCGUCUUUGGCACGGACGCACCAGGGCUUCUGUGAUGCGCUCUCGAAGAGUCGAGUUGUUUGGGAAUGCAGCUCAAAAUGGGUGGUGAACUCCAUCUAAAGCUAAAUAUUGGCGAGAGACCGAUAGCGAACAAGUACCGUGAGGGAAAGAUGAAAAGCACUUUGGAAAGAGAGUGAAACAGUACGUGAAAUUGUUGAAAGGGAAACGCUUGAAGUCAGUCGCGUCGCCCGAGACUCAGCCUUGCCUCGGCUUGGUGUACUUCUCGGCCGACGGGUCAGCAUCAAUUUUGCCCCUUGGAUAAUGGCGAGGGAAAUGUGACACCUUUACGGGUGUGUUAUAGUCUUUCGUCGCAUGCAAGGGUCGGGAUUGAGGAACUCAGCACGCGCCUUUGGGCGUCGGGGUUCGCCCACGAUACGUGCUUAGGAUGUUGGCGUAAUGGCUUUAAACGACCCGUCUUGAAACACGGACCAAGGAGUCUAACAUGCCCGCGAGUGUUCGGGUGGAAAACCCGUGCGCGCAAUGAAAGUGAAAGUUGGGACCUCUGUCGUGGAGGGCACCAACGCCCGGACCAGACCUUCUGUGACGGAUCUGCGGUAGAGCGUGUAUGUUAGGACCCGAAAGAUGGUGAACUAUGCCUGAAUAGGGUGAAGCCAGAGGAAACUCUGGUGGAGGCUCGUAGCGAUUCUGACGUGCAAAUCGAUCGUCAAAUUUGGGUAUAGGGGCGAAAGACUAAUCGACCAUCUAGUAGCU